CCUACGGGAGGCAGCAGUAGGGAAUCUUUCACAAUGGGCGAAAGCCUGAUGGAGCAACGCCGCGUGCAGGAUGAAGGCCUUCGGGUUGUAAACUGCUUUUAUAAGCGAGAAAUAUGAUGGUAACUUAUGAAUAAGGAUCGGCUAACUACGUGCCAGCAGCCGCGGUCAUACGUAGGAUACGAGCAUUAUCCGGAGUGACUGGGGGUAAAGAGUUGCGUAGGUGGCAUAAUAAGUAGCUAGUGAAAUCUGGUGGCUCAACCAUUCAGACUAUUAGCUAAACUGUUAAGCUCGAGACCGUUAGGGGUAACUGGAAUUUCUAGUGUAGGAGUGAAAUCCGUAGAUAUUAGAAGGAACACCAAUAGCGUAGGCAGGUUGCUGGGACGGUUCUGACACUAAGGCACGAAAGCGUAGGGAGCAAACGGGAUUAGAUACCCUUGUAGUC
rnacentral:rRNA from 1 species